rnacentral:lncRNA from 1 species
UCUCUACCAGUUCACCCGAAAUUACCAGGCAUGAUCAGAGAGAGAGAGAGAGAGAGAGAGAGGAACAGAGAUUAGAGAUGUAGAGAGAGAGAGAGAGAGAGGAUGGUUGUUCUGUGAGAGUGGGGGAGAAGAAGGGGGAGGACUGGCCAAUCUGGGGAUUUCCCGGCGGCGAUGGUCCGCCGGAGACCGGCCGCGGCAGGGUUCCCGAGGCGGCGCCCCCUCCCUACUUCCGAGGUAGCCAAAGCCGGUUUAAAGCGACGGGAAAAGGAAGCAAAUCUCUGCGAAUAACAAUAAGAAUACCAAAGACCGUCGCCUCCGAAGCCUCGACCUCUCUCUC